rnacentral:rRNA from 1 species
GACGAACGCUGGCGGCGUGCUUAACACAUGCAAGUCGAACGGAAAGGCCCUUCGGGGUACUCGAGUGGCGAACGGGUGAGUAACACGUGGGUGAUCUGCCCUGCACUUUGGGAUAAGCCUGGGAAACUGGGUCUAAUACCGAAUAGGACCACGCGCUUCAUGGUGUGUGGUGGAAAGCUUUUGCGGUGUGGGAUGGGCCCGCGGCCUAUCAGCUUGUUGGUGGGGUAAUGGCCUACCAAGGCGACGACGGGUAGCCGGCCUGAGAGGGUGACCGGCCACACGGGGCCUGAGAUAGGCCCCAGACCCGUAGGGGAGGAGGCGGGGGGAAAUUUGGAAAAGUGGCCCAGACCCUGAGGAGGCGACGCCGGGGGGGGGAGGGCGGCUUUCGGUUUGAAAACCUCUUAAAGUGGGGACGAAGCGCAAGUGCCGGUACCUAAAGAAAAGGCCCCGGCCAACUAGGUC